rnacentral:rRNA from 1 species
GGGGGGUCCAACAUGCAAAGUCGACGAAGUUACUUGCUUAGAUCUCUUCGGAGUGACGAGCUUUUAACUUAGUGGCGGACGGGUGAGUAACACGUGAGCAACCUGCCUUUCAGAGGGGGAUAACGACUGGAAACGGUCGCUAAUACCGCAUGAUAUAUUGAAUCGGCAUCGGUUUAAUAUCAAAGGAGCAAUCCACUGAAAGAUGGGCUCGCGUCUGAUUAGAUAGUUGGUGGGGUAACGGCCUACCAAGUCGACGAUCAGUAGCCGGACUGAGAGGUUGAACGGCCACAUUGGGACUGAGAUACGGCCCAGACUCCUACGGGAGGCAGCAGUGGGGAAUAUUGCACAAUGGGGGAAACCCUGAUGCAGCAACGCCGCGUGAAGGAAGACGGUUUUCGGAUUGUAAACUUCUUUUCUUAGUGAAGAAGAAAGUGACGGUAGCUAAGGAAUAAGCAUCGGCUAACUACGUGCCAGCAGCCGCGGUAAUACGUAGGAUGCGAGCGUUAUCCGGAAUUACUGGGUGUAAAGGGAGCGCAGGCGGGACUGCAAGUUGGAUGUGAAAUGCCGCAGCUUAACUGCGGAGCUGCAUCCAAAACUGUAGUUCUUGAGUGGAGUAGAGGCAAGCGGAAUUCCGAGUGUAGCGGUGAAAUGCGUAGAUAUUCGGAGGAACACCAGUGGCGAAGGCGGCUUGCUGGGCUCUAACUGACGCUGAGGCUCGAAAGUGUGGGGAGCAAACAGGAUUAGAUACCC